ensembl:lncRNA
GAAUCGUACAGGGUCAUCCACUUUUUCAGUAUCAAGAGCGCAGACCGUAGAGUUCGAUUUCCUGUGUUUGGAUCCUGCCUCUGACACUUACUAACCGGGCAACCUUGGGCAAGGAUAUUUCAUCGUGCCGUGCCUGCUGUGUCGUGUGGAAGGGGGGCCGGAGGGCUGUGGGGGGCUGGGUGAGUUAAGACUUGUACAUGGCUUAGAGCAGAGUUAUAGUCGAGACACUGUGUGCUAGGAAAUGCUUGGUAAUGGUGAUGCAAUUACCGAAAUUCCUCUUUGGCAUUUUGGAACGGUGUUGAGAUGUGGGCAGCAGAUCGCCCUCAGGUAUGUGUGGGGAUGCUCGAGCCCACUGUGUUCAGUGAGGGUGGCCAAGGCUUUGGAAGUGCAGCCACUAAGCCCUUCUCCUAAUGCCAUCCGGAAAAGCAGGGUACAGUGGGGCCCUCGGCUGUGACCGUGGGCCACCAAGAGCGUUGGCUCCAGGGAAGGCGGACAGUCCUUGGCUCUCUGCCCGAGCCGCCCUCUGCAGGAUGCUAGGGCGUGGUCACCAAGCAGAGCGAGCAGCAGUUCAGUUCUGCCUCCCCGGCACCUGGAGACACAUGGUCCGUGAUGCAUGUGUGUGUGUGUGUGUGUGUGUGUGUGCUCAGCUUGGCUGAGUUGCAGUCCCUGUCCAUUCUUGAACUGAAGACCUGGGGGUGCCAGUGUUCCUGUCCACGUCGCUAUCUCAUACUUGAGGAGAAAUUAUCCUUGGUGUGUUCACUUUAUUUGGGAUGAAUCAUACAAGGACAAUUUCUUUUUGAGUAUCAAAUCCUGCCUCGGCGGACUUCCUGAACCCCAUGACGAGUUCCAUAGAGAUGCGUGUAUCAACCCUUUGGGGUCUCCUGCCUGGCUGUGGGCUGAGAGCUUGCAGGGACUCGUGCUGGGGGACCACUGCUCGAACCUUCAGGAACUAGCGGCAGGGCCAAGCUUGGCCAGGGGCCACCGGGCUCCCUGGUACUGUCUUGACCUGCGUUGGUCAUGGGUGUGUGUGAUGAGUGACCCAGCAUUCAAGGCUCAUCAGAUCCUGCUUCUUGAAAUCACUGCUUGGACAUGAAGGCAACUUUAGGAUCAAGUCACUGCUGUCAGCUCCCCUGUCCCCUGCCUGAGGACGUGAGCAACCCCCGAGUAGGCGGCCGACUCUGUGUGAAACUGACCCACUAACCGUCAUUGUUUGGACUACCCAGGAAGAACCUUCUGGAAAGGACACUGACCUUGGAGACGAGGCCAAGUUCUUCUGGAUGGCACAGUUCAUUGAUGCUUAAAGAAUGGUUGUCCGUAGUAUGGUCUCUGUAUUUAUGGUGAUUAAUAUCAGAUAGCCAUUGUUUUAGUAUCCAAACGUCCAGAUGUGCUUCACGGUUUUUCUUGAGGAUGGUGCUAACUUCAGCAAGAGGACACGGGGGCCUAACUUACCACAGAGCAUGUUUUUGCUGAUGAUCCCUGACAACUAAUUCAGUGACCUGGGAAUGCAAGCCUGCAGCAUGAUGCCCCUUGAACUAACACCAGUUUUGGGGCGGACAUACAGUUCGGGUGCUCAGGGCCGUUUGGAAGAUGCUGGUAAUGAUUCAUCUGUCUUUCUCUUUUUGUUACUCAAUCUCAGCCAUGAGGAAUUCCUGGACGAGAGACUGCUGUCAAGCAUCUCUCUAGGCAGCUGGAAGAUGGACUGGGUCAUUUGGUUUUCCCGCCCCCUGAUCUUUGGCAUAAAUCUGAUCAUGAAGAUGUCUUAGAGAAGAUGCAAAAUUAAGGAAAUCACAGUCCAUUUCCUGCCACUGCUACUAAGGAGCGAUCUACUGAAUGUCCAUCUUAUGGCUCUGUGCCUGUUAUUGGAACCACUUCGUCUUAGAGACUCUCCCAUGAGACAUGUUAUUGUUUAGUUGCUAAGUCGUGUCUGACUCUUUGUGACCCCACGGACUGCAGCACCCCAGGUUCCUCUGUUCUCCACUAUCUCCUGGUGUUUGCUCAAUGCUGUCUAACCAUCUCAUCCUCUGUCACCCCCUUCUCCUUUUGCCUUCAUUCUUUCCCAGUGUCAGGGGAUUUUCCAGUGAGUCAGCCCUUUGCAUCAGGGGGCCAAAGUAUUGGAGCUUCAGCAUCAGUCCUUCCAAUGAAUAUUCAGGGUUGAUUCCUUUAGGAUUGGCUGGUUUGAUCUCUUUGCAGUCCAAGGGAACACAGACCCUGGGAUAAGACAUUGUGGUCAAUGGCACCUCUGGGGUGUAUGUGCGUGCACGUGUGUGUGUGUGUGUGUGUGCUUGUGAACUGUCAGCUAGAGGGGUGUUCCUCAAACUCUAAUAUGCUUCUCAGAUUUUCAUCACCUAGGGAUCUUGUUAAAAGGCAGAUUCUGAUUCAGGGACCAAGAUUCUGCAUUUUUAGCAAGUUCCCAAGUGAUGCUAAUGCUUCUGGUCGGUGGACAACACUCGGAGCAGCUCGGGGCUGGAGAGGAUGUGCUUUCUUUGUGAUGUGUGUCCCCUGUGCCCCACCUUCCAUAUCACGAGAACACUUCCCAGGCCAACACACCGCUCUUCUGUUCGUGCGCAAUGGUUAUCAGCCCCCGGCUCUCUUAUGCAUACAUGUCAUGAGGUGACUCUCCCUUAGAGUCAAAUUCCACCUCCCAGGGCUUCCUGGAUACAAGACCCUCGCCGAGGAGAGGCCACCAGUGUCAAGGCUCAUCAGGCACUGGACCAUCAGCGGCAUUGAUGCCUGGGACUACGAAAUUCUGGAAUCACCCAUUUCCAGUCAGUCCGAAGCAGCAAUCCUGGGCCAAGGCCAUCUUUUGGGGACCCCCUCUCUUGGGGAUCCGUGAUAUGCUUCGUUUUAUCAGAAAAGGAUCUGAGUUCCCAGCUCCCUGAGCCUUGGAUUCAGGUCUUCCUGAGAAGAACCUUCCGGAGCCAGAGACCGCCGACACUGGGGAAGAGGCCAUGGUUUUCAUUUCAGAACUGUUCAGGGAUAUUUGAGGAGAGGUUAUCCGUGUUAUGUUCGCUUGGCUCAUCAUGAAUAAUACAUGGUUAACCUCUCUUUGAAUAUCAAACUCUGCCUCGAGGGCCGCCCGCACAGGAGACGUGAGAGCGUGUGCCUGGUGUGAGCUGUGACCCCGGGGCCAGCCGUGAUGUGGAAGGCAUGCUUCCUGGAAGGGAGGCCGGCUGGGGGAGGGGCCCAGGCUUGCUUUGCAGUGGUUUUGCAGUGAACUUGGUGUGUUUCUCUGAUUUGGACAAGGUCGCCCCCACUUUCAGUCCAGCCUGCCUGGGGGUGAGGGGCUGAGAUAGGGCCCCUGAGUCCGUGUUCCUGCAGGGCUGGUCAGUGGGGGCCUGAUGGCUGAGCUUCGCCCACAGUGAGAGCUCUCCCCAGCCCUGACUGUCCAGACCCAGACUUGCCCUUUGCAGAGCAGCUUCCUGGAGGCUACACCGUCCCCUGUGGAGAGUGUGUGCUUUCUGCUCCCCCGGGACCUUCCAGGAGAGGUCACUCCCUUCCCGAAGACUCCUCUGAGGGCCAUCUGUUUUCAAGGGUCAGGUCCCACCCAGACCAGCUCCCCAGACACACAUGGUCGCAUCUGUCUCCCCAGGUGUGCGAAAGGCAGGCCCACCUCUGCUCGCUGUGUUGACCUCCCAGGUCCACUUCCCGUCCAGGCAGAUUUCCCCGAGGCGCUGCUGGCAGAGCCUGCAGGGUUCCCGUCCCCCCACUUGGCACACAAAGAGGCUGGUGGGGCCGCAGCCCCUUCCCUUGGGAGGAGGACUGCCCAGCCGACAUCUCCACCUCUGCAGCUCGCACGCAGUGCUCUCUCUGAGUCUGGAUCCCCCCUGCUUAUGGGGAUAGGAGGCUGACCCGGACCCCUCAUUUAGUGGAGGAUGGGGGCCCCCAUGACCCGCUACCUCCAGAGUCUUGACCGUGUGAACCUCCGGGGGCUCCCGAGAAGCCCUGUGCUCCGGUCUCUGCAGCUUUCCUGGCCAGCCUGGCAGAGUCUUUCACGGCUUCAGUCCAGCACCCACUGGUGAUCCCAGCUUCCCAGUAAGAGAGCUGUCCACCCCUCAGGUACGUCACUGCAGAACUGCCCCCCAGGGUGUGCCAGGAGGAUGGACACAGCCCCCGUCCAUGAACCCGAGAAUGCCUUCCACACUCAGUGACGCCCAGGAGUGACCCAAGCUUGGAAGACGGGAUGCCGACGCUGUCAUCCGCGUCAGUGCGGGCUCCACUGGGCGCUCAUCUGUCGUCUGUGGUGGAGGUUCUGGUACCAUGGAAGACUGCGUUGUGGGGCUCCACCUUCAGGCGGGGAUAUAUGGUGUCCCCCUCACUGGGUCCACAGGUGGCCUGUGAGGACCCCUGGGCCCUCAGAACAGAAUCGUCCAUAAGGGAUUUUGGGGGCCAGGCCUUUUUGGGACUCAGGUCCACCCCAUCUCGCUCGAAGAGAGAGUUUAGUCUGGGAGUGUGGUCUUUAUGGUUGACUAUUCCUUCAGCUCUGGUUAUCCCUACUGUGUCCAGGAUGAGUUCCUGGAGGCCACCUCUGAUCCAGAGAAAGGUUAUGCCUCUUGGUACCAAUCCUCAGUCUAGGGAGAGCUAAUGUGCCCCUGACUGUUGGCAUCUUCAUCUGGGUACACGAGGAGGCACCUGCUCAGGUGCGGUCCACGGCAGGGUCCCUCUUCACUGCUUGCUCGGUCAUAAGUGUGGAGCCCGGUCACACCCUGCCUAGACCAGAUUCCACCUUCAGGAAGGAAGUACCUCCCAUGACCCUUGAAAGAAUGGCCCGUCUCAGACCCUGGGUCUUUGUUAGGAUGAAGCCCCCCCGUCCCCCAGCUGGAGCAUUGAGGUCUUAAAUGCUUAGCCCCCAGGGCUGAGCAAAGGCGGGGUUCACGGUCAUGUCAUCACAGCCUGUCUGGCUGAUCACAUCCAAGCUGCUGUUUUGCAGGACAAGCUCCCACCUGGAGAGGUGCUCCACCAGGACGCCAGCCUGAGGGCAGGGCAUGGUCCGUGAUAGGGGAGUGGAUGGUUGAUCAGAGAACAUACAUUUUGUCAAUGAUGUAUGUCAACUGAUCCACAGUCCCUCCCUAUCCAGUCACUUCUCAGGACAGACUUGAAGAAGAGGCGCUGCUUCCUCCUCCAUGCUAGUACCUGUCCCUUGAAAAGACCUUUUCCUUGCUGCUUGGCUCUCUUUAUGCUCAGUCACGUAAGGGAAGCUUUGUUUCUCAGUACUGAUCUUUCCUGGAACGCUUCCUGGGAAGAGCUGCUGGCUUCCACCCCUUCCCAGGGGACAGGAAUGCAUGGUUGGCUUUAUUUACAAAGGGCCACACCCAAUGCUCCUCACCCCCAGUCCCCAAUUCGUCCUUAGGAGGAUUAGCUGCAGGCAAGGCAGACUCUGGUGAAGACACGGUUCAUCAGCGUUAGCCUUUGGUACUUGAAGAGUGGCUAUCCCUGCUGUGUUCGCUGUAUUUAUGACGAAUCAUACAGGGACAUCCAGUUUUUCAGUAUCAAAUACUGCUCUGGAGGGCUUCCCCGACAGCAUCCCACCUUCCAGGAGGAGGUCUUGGUUUUCGUGCCCACCCGAGGUAUGUACGUGGCUGGUGGAUCACAGUGCAGGCGCAUCCUUUAAGAUGCUUGUCGCUUGUUGCCCCCGAGGCUGGAAUCUAACCUAGGCAGGAGGUGGCUGCCUAGUAGGACUGUGAUUUCUGGAAGGGAUGUUGUCAUUGAUUCUGAACCCAUCUGAAAGAUCGACCCCUGAGAAUCUUGUUCACACAGAACACCUGCCAUCUGUCCCAAGAGAACCAGCUGCUGCUGCUGCUGCUGCUGCUGCUAAGUCACGUCAGUUGUGUCCAAUUCUGUGCAACCCCAUAGACGGCAGCCCACCAGGCUCCUCUGUCCCUGGGAUUCUCUAGGCAAGAACACUGGAGUGGGUUGCCAUUUCCUUCUCCAGGGCAUGAAAGUGGAAAGUAAAAGUGAAGUCGCUCAGUCGUGUCCGACUCUUAGCGACCCCAGGGACUGCAGCCUACCAGGCUCCUCUGUCCAUGGGAUUUCCCAGGCAAGAGUACUGGAGUGGGUUGCCAUUGUUUUCUCCCAAGAUAACCAGACCUUUCAUAAAAUGAAUCCCUGGAGACCAUGCUCUAUGAUGAUGUGGGGUGAUACUGUCUGAUAACCUAACUGGUCAUCCUUAUGGUAUUUGCUCCAGGAAAGACUCUGUGAUGGUCCACUCUUGCCCGGGAAGGCGUUCUGGAAGCAGUGCCAACCUGGGGAAGACGUGUUGGCAUGGCAUCUUUCCAGUGCACGUGGAGAGUGAGUUGAGCAGAGUCUUAUUUUUGUCUCUGGUGGGGCGCACUUGGCUUCCUCCCCCAUAAGACCCAGCCCUUUGGAUAAUUGCUUUGCGGAAGGGAUGUCUGCUUGGGCCAUGAUGCUUUUUCAGCAGGGCUCUUUCUCUGCAUUGUCUUGUAAUGAGUGUAACCACUUUGCUAAUGAAUUUUCCAUCAGUUGAUCCAUCAGUGAGGAAUGUCAUCCCACAAAUCAUGAUAGAGCAUACUAUCUACUAGAUGAUUCUAGACCUUAGUUGGGUCCGCUCAGCUGGGGGUAGAGCAGUGAGCACGAUGAAGUCCUUGUUCACGUGAACUUGACAGUCUGGUGGGAGAGAUGGAAGGUCAUAGCCGAGCGAUAUCAUUCUAUCCACUGUAGAGUUACGAAGGAAAGGAAAGCAGGGCAAGCUGUGAGGAAGAGGCAUAGAUAGAACAGACGUUUAUGUUAAAUACAGGGUCUGGGAAAGUUUCUCUGGGGAGGGAACUGGAAAUGAAGUAGGUUUGGGAGUCAGAUUUUCGGGAGAAGCUUGUGGCACAUGAAAGCUCUCUGACAUCUUUGAGGAACCUCAAGAAGGAAGGUAGGGCUGGACUGGACUAUGGGUGAAAGAGGCAGCCUCUGAGGCUUGGGCACCUCCAGAUUUUAGUCUGAGUGUGAUGGAAACUAUGGGUGGAUUCUGGUGGGGAGGGAGGUGUGGUCUGCAUUGAAAUGGUCACUCUGACCACAAGGGUGGUGAUAGAGAGCCCACAUGGAUGGCUAUUGUAUUGAUCUCUGAGUUGCUGAUGGAAGCUAGGAAGAGAACAGGAGUCUCCACAUGAAGAACAUGGGAGGCCCCACAGGUGGAGCCAGCAGACCCACGGAUGGGUUGGAUGAGCCCAGCCAGGGUCAGGAGUGACAAAGUGGGGCCGGGGAUGAACCAGAGGGUCUACAGGUGUGACCGCUGCUGAACUGGGGGCUCUGGAGCGAGUCAGUCCCAGGAGCUUUGGGAGAAGUAUCAUUACCAGUAUUGCCAAGAUCCAAGCAGAGGCAGUGACCAUGGGCCUGAGGGUCAGGUGGGAUGUUGGCAGAGGUACCCGGAGCUGAGGCAGCCUCCAGGCCAGUGAGAGCUGGGGACAGCAUCACUGGGUGGGCAUUACCAAGAACGAGGUUGGGAGGUGUUCUGGGAGGAGGAUGGUGAACCAGAAAGAGGACCUAGGUGGCUGUGAUCCAGGUAGUGGGCAGUGAGGUCUGAUGAAAAUGCUGUGAGCUGAAAGUUUAAAAGGAAAAGAGAAGAAUGGUCUGGAGGUGAGGCUGAGCCGGGAGGCCAUCUACCCACUGCAAGCCUCCAGUGUAGGAGGUGGCAGGGUGCAGAUAGCCCUCGGUGGUGGACAGUGAAUCCCUGCGGAGAAAUGAGGACAUGGUGAUGAGUCGUGGUUCCAAAUACGGAAGGAGUGUGGGGCGUGAGGACUGGGAAACUGAACCCGGUCCUACUGGUCUCAGGUUGUUGGGGAGAAGGUGGUGACCUUUGAUGCCAGCUUUCUGGGAAUUGUGUUCCCGGGUGGUUCACCGGGAUGAGACGAGCAGUGGGAUGGCGGGGUGGGAAGGGAGUUGGGGUCUCCCUCUCCAGGAGCCCCCCAUGGUGGCUGUUCUGGAACUCCCCUCGUCUGCUAGACCCCACAAGUCCCAUGAAGGAGCUUGGCAGUGCUUAGAUGUGCUUGAUAGAGAGCCAGGUGUGCUGUGCUGAGAAGUCCAAGGUCCCUAUUCUGAAAGCCCAGGGUCCACACCCACACGGAGGGUCCUGAGCUGGGACAAGCUGGCACUGCGAAGCCCCUCUCCUCUCGUUUCUGAGCCCUGCCCCCGAAGACUUGGGAAUGCCGUCACCGCUCCAGGGAAGAGGCAGGCAGGGCGUCUGCCCCGCUCCAGGGAG